AAAUUCGCGCUUGCAAUUGGUUCAUAUUAGUGAUUGAUUAAAAAGGGAACAAGGUGGAAUUCCUUGACAGUCCCGCUGCUGUGAGCGAUGUUGUUGAAAGGGAAAUAUACCACUGACCAUUAGUGUUGGGAAGGUUUUCUUUCGUGAGUCGCAUAGUCAGAAGACCUGCCAUUGCGAGUUUAUGUUUG
rnacentral:ncRNA from 15 species